rnacentral:rRNA from 1 species
UACGAAGGGUGCAAACGUUGCUCGGAAUUAUUGGGCGUAAAGAGCUCGUAGGCGGUUUGUUGCGUCGGCUGUGAAAUCCCGAGGCUCAACCUCGGGUCUGCAGUCGAUACGAGCAAACUAGAGUGUUGCAGGGGAGACUGGAAUUCCUGGUGUAGCGGUGAAAUGCGCAGAUAUCAGGAGGAACACCGGUGGCGAAGGCGGGUCUCUGGGCAACAACUGACGCUGGAGGAGCGAAAGCGUGGGGAGCGAACAGG